rnacentral:rRNA from 1 species
UGAGGAAUCUUGCGCAAUGGGGGAAACCCUGACGCAGCAACGCCGCGUGAGUGAGGAAGGCCUUCGGGUCGUAAAGCUCUGUCAGAUGGGAAGAAAUGGGUGGGGGCUAAUAUCGUCCAUCCUUGACGGUACCAUCAGAGGAAGCACCGGCUAACUCCGUGACAGCAGCCGCGGUAAUACGGGGGGUGCACGCGUUGUUCGGAAUCAUUGGGCGUAAAGCGCGCGCAGGCGGCUUGGUAAGUCAGAUGUGAAAUCCCUGGGCUUAACCCAGUAAGUGCAGUUGAGACUGCCUCGCUAGAGUGCGGGAGAGGAAAGUGGAAUUCCUGGUGUAGAGGUGAAAUUCGUAGAUAUCAGGAGGAACACCGGUGGCGAAGGCGACGUUCUGGCCCGAUACUGACGCUCAGGCGCGAAAGCGUGGGGAGCAAACA